UACUUUAUAAUUUAAUUAAAAAUAUUAGUUUUGUAAACUAAUUAUGUCCUAGGACUGGAGUAU
rnacentral:tRNA from 1 species